rnacentral:lncRNA from 1 species
GGCACACAGUGGCACCCCCGCAGCAGUCCCAGCAACAGGCAUUGGGAAGGUCGUGAACGCGACAUCGAAACGUAUCUAGAACUGUACAAUGAUACACAAAAGUGUACCAAGAAGUGGCUCGGCUAAGACAUUGAAAUUUAGUUCAAUCCCUCUGGCCUACCCGAUUCUGUGGCGUUUUCUUUGGGCCAUGAGCAAAGCGGUUCAUCGAUCGAUCUCAGUCUAUGCAAAUCAACUGUCAAGUGUUUUCUUUAGCCACAACACUGUGGAUACACUUCCCAAGCAUAGCUUGAGCUUUGUGAGCCUCUUGGGUUACCUUUGUUUAGAUGCAGUAAAUAAGUAUGAUAAUAAAUCUUAGCAAGGACUAAAAUUACUUCGAAGUAUGGUCAAUAAAUAUACAAUAAACGG